rnacentral:lncRNA from 1 species
UGGCAGGAAGCAGAGUGCUGGUCUUACACAACACUUUUUGUUGGUGUCAGCAUCAAAGGAAGAACACUGAAGCACGUAGGACAAGGCCUGAUCUUGUAUAACCUGAGUCUUCGGGAAAGAUGGUACAGGAUGCUAGAAGUUAAUGAAAAAAAUAUUUAAAGUACUCAAGAGAAAGUAACUCUAAACCCACAAUUCUAUAUGUUUUUAACAACCAGUCAAAGGGGUAUUGGUAAGGUGGAAGUUGGGCACGUCAUUCCUCAGCUCACAUCAUUUUUAAAACUUUUUUUAAAAACAGCUUUAUUAAGAUACAACUUAAAAAAAUAAAAAAUAAAAAAGAUACAACUUAUAUGUCAUAAAAUUCACCCCUUGUAAGUGUAUAAUUUUGUUAUUUUUAGUAAAUUUAUAGACCUAUGCAACCAUCACCACAAUCCAGUUUUAAAACAUAUCCACCAUCCCAAAAUGUUCCCUUGUUCCACUUUGCAAUUAAUCCCUGCUACUACUAAUACCUCCAAGCUCUAGGCAGCCACGAAUCUAUUUUCUGUCUAAAUUUGCCUUUUCUGGACAUUUCAGAGAGAUGGACUCAUGCAAUCUGUAGUUUUUUUGCAUCUGGCUACUUCCAUAUGGCAUAACAUUUUUGAGAUCCAUCCAUGUUGUAGUAUGGAUUAGCAGUUUGUUCCUUUAUUUAUUUUUAUUUUUUGAGAUGGAGUUUCACUCGUGUUGCCCAGGCUGGAGUGCAAUGGCGUGAUCGCAGCUCACUGCAACCUCCACCUCCCAGAUUCAAGAGAUUCUCCUGCCUCAGCCGCCCGACUAGCUGGGAUUACAGGCAUGUGCCACCACGCCUGGCUAAUUUUCUGUAUUUUUAGUAGAGACAGGGUUUCCCCAUGUUGGCCAGGCUGGUCUUGAACUCCUGACCUCAGGUGAUCCACCCACCUUGGCCUCCGAAAGUUCUGGGAUUACAGGCGUGACCCACUGCACCCAGCUUAGUUUGUUCCUUGUUUAUUGCUGAAUAGUAUGCCAGUGUGUGGACAGGUCACAUUUUGUUAUCUGUGCACUAGCUG